UAUUAUUGGGGUUUGUUUUGUUUUGUUUUGAUGUAGGCUACAUGUUUGGGCUACUAUAUCAAAGUACCAUAGGCUGGGUGGCCUAUAAACAACAGAUUUAUUUUUCACAGUUCUAGAGGCUGGGAAGUCCAAGACCAAGAUGCCAAGAGCCUGCUUCCUCAUUGUGAAGUCACUAAUCCCAUUAGUGAGGGCUCCAUGCUCCUGACCUAAUCACCUCCCAGCGGCCCCCCCUCAUAUACCAUCACUGGGGAAUUGGUUUCAACAUAUUAGGUAGAAGCUAGACACAGCAGUGGAAGGAAUGCCCCAAGGCAGAGUUCCAAGUCCUUGAAGGGGAACGAUAGAGACAUGAGCUGGAGGCCAGGACGGUUACAAAAAGGAAAUUUGGACACACUGAGAGACACCACAGGGGCAUGAAUAUACAGAGAGACAAACAUGUGAAGAAGCAGCAACAGGAGGACCAUCUGUUGUCCAAGAAGAAAGGCCUCAGAAGAAACCAAACUUACCUCCACCUUGAUCUCGGACUUCUAGCUUCCAGAACUGUAAGCAAAUAAAAUAAAUUUCUGUUGUUUAA